ensembl:lncRNA
CCAUGGAUGGCGUGUUAGAAGGAGCGGCGGUGUUGUGUGUGUGUAAGCUGGCCUGCAGUCUCCUCUCCCUGCCAUCAUUGGCUGCCUCCUGCAGUCUCGUCAGCUUCUGCUGCUGCUGCCUCCUGGUCUUCACCGACUUCCUGGUCACAGUUUUUCUAAGUUUCCUUUGCAUCUUUGAGUCCUGGCUCACUGAGCUGACCCCGCUAGGCGAUGUCAUCGCCCUGCGCUACCUGAUCUUUCUCAGCCACACAUACGGUGCGGUGUUGCUCCUGAUCACACCUCUGAUUGCUGUGGAGAUUCUGACCAGACUGCUGUGGCCUUACUGCGUUGUCGUUGGCAGGACAGCGAGUGUAACAGUGGGCUCUGAUGGACAUUGUAAUGUUGGCGAGGUAACUGUGGACGAGGAGGAAAGCAAAGACAACAAGGACAUAGAAAAGAGGUUGUCUCAAGUUGUCAGCUACCUCUGCUGCCUGUCAGUGUGGGUCACCGUUGCCCUCAAUGUCAGGUGGCGAUGGAAGCGGGAGGAAGUGUGGGUUGCUGCCUGUUUGCACACAACCAACUCCCUCAUCAGAUGUUUGCCCAACCUAUUCAGCCCCAUGCCCAGCAUUGUGAAUCCCUGCUGGGGCAUGGCCUUCCUCUCUUUCCUCCUGUUCUUCCUGACCACGAGCCUGGGCCUGCACAGACGAGACCGGGACCCUGCACAGACACACAGAGAGAAACAUGGAGUUAACAACAACGGUUACAGUUUCUGGCAAGAACUCGUUCCAGCGCCGUCUGCGUCCUCCAAGCCUGUGAACCCUGGGAUGUCUGAGUCAGAGCCAGCACAGUGUGUUGACCCAGAGAAAACAGAGAGCAGCUGCACUGUUCACAGAGCGUAUUCCUGGAACAGCGUGCAGAUGUCGGCGCAUCACCAUGGAGACUUUGUCCUCAUCUCCCCUGAAUGUUUGUCUGCAGAGAGAGGACAGGAGCACGAAAGGACAAAGAGAGGUAUUCCUCGUACAUAUAUCACGGAGGAGCAUGUGGACUCAAAAAAAAGGAGCCAUAGUGAGUGGCGACAGGGGGGUUUUCCCCGCCCAGGGGUGAAUGUAAUGAUAGGGUUGGUGGGUGUGCUCUCCAUCUUUGUGCUGCCUCUAAACCUCAGUGUGAACAUUCUUCUGAUCAGGACUAUAGAGACUCUGCUGGAGCUGUGUAUCACAUAUUUAGUUUCAUCUGCCGCAAACACAAGCAACGCAUCCACCUCUCACAAUGAAACACUUGUAUGAAGCCAGACGGGUGAGAAGCAAAAGUAGAUGCUGAUUGGACGCUAUUUGCAACAGGAUCACCUGAUUAAUAUUGUAUGUGUGCAGACAGCAGGUCUACCUGUCAACAGCAGUUUGAAUAGAGUGUAAAUAAGCAUUUCUGAGCAGCUAUUCACAUGUGAGGAAUAAUAUGUGGAAACGUGGUGAAAUGUGCUGAGGAGGCAGGUUGAGGCAUGCUUGCAGUAGGACACUAAAGCAGAGUAAAACAGACGGCUGGAAGGCCUGUUUUUAUUGUUCAGAGCCUUAAGAUCUGCAGCGAGUUGUCAUUACUCAAUGGGUUAUAGAAUGAGCCUCUUCAGCGUGAAGAGUAAUCCAGGGGCAAAUGGUUUUCUGAAGUAAGAUAACACAUAAACCCU